AAAUAAAUUUUUGACUUUGUGACUUCGACUUUGACUUUGUCACUAUGUUUACGGUUGUGCGAAUGGUAACUCACGUGAAGCAAGGC